CAGCAGCCGCGGUAAUACGUAGGUGGCAAGCGUUGUCCGGAUUUAUUGGGCGUAAAGCGAGCGCAGGCGGUUCCUUAAGUCUGAUGUGAAAGCCCCCGGCUCAACCGGGGAGGGUCAUUGGAAACUGGGGAACUUGAGUGCAGGAGAGAAAAGUGGAAUUCCUAGUGUAGCGGUGAAAUGCGUAGAGAUUAGGAGGAACACCAGUGGCGAAGGCGGCUUUUUGGCCUGUAACUGACACUGAGGCGCGAAAGCGUGGGGAGCAAACAGGAUUAGAUACCCCAGUAGUCCCUGUCUCUUAUAC
rnacentral:rRNA from 1 species